ACGCUGGCGGCGUGCCUAACACAUGCAAGUCGAGCGAGGGUUUGCUCAGUAUUGAGUAUUCUAAGACUAGAAUGUUCAAUACUGAGCAAAACCAAGCGGCGGACGGGUGAGUAACGCGUGGGUAACCUGCCCUAUACACAUGGAUAACAUACUGAAAAGUUUACUAAUACAUGAUAAUAUAUAUUUGCGGCAUCGCAGAUAUAUCAAAGUGUUAGCGGUAUAGGAUGGACCCGCGUCUGAUUAGCUAGUUGGUGAGAUAACUGCCCACCAAGGCGACGAUCAGUAGCCGACCUGAGAGGGUGAUCGGCCACAUUGGAACUGAGACACGGUCCAAACUCCUACGGGAGGCAGCAGUGGGGAAUAUUGCACAAUGGGCGAAAGCCUGAUGCAGCAACGCCGCGUGAACGAUGAAGGUCUUCGGAUCGUAAAGUUCUGUUGCAGGGGAAGAUAAUGAUGGUACCCUGUGAGGAAGCCCCGGCUAACUACGUGCCAGCAGCCGCGGUAAUACGUAGGGGGCUAGCGUUAUCCGGAUUUACUGGGCGUAAAGGGUGCGUAGGUGGUCCUUCAAGUCGGUGGUUAAGGGCUACGGCUCAACCGUAGUAAGCCGCCGAAACUGGAGGACUUGAGUGCAGGAGAGGAAAGUGGAAUUCCCAGUGUAGCGGUGAAAUGCGUAGAUAUUGGGAGGAACACCAGUAGCGAAGGCGGCUUUCUGGACUGCAACUGACACUGAGGCACGAAAGCGUGGGUAGCAAACAGGAUUAGAUACCCUGGUAGUCCACGCUGUAAACGAUGAGUACUAGGUGUCGGGGGUUACCCCCCUCGGUGCCGCAGCUAACGCAUUAAGUACUCCGCCUGGGGAGUACGCACGCAAGUGUGAAACUCAAAGGGAUUGACGGGGACCCGCACAAGUAGCGGAGCAU
rnacentral:rRNA from 1 species